rnacentral:rRNA from 1 species
AGCGAACGCUGGCGGCAGGCCUAACACAUGCAAGUCGAACGAACUCUUCGGAGUUAGUGGCGGACGGGUGAGUAACACGUGGGAACGUGCCUUUAGGUUCGGAAUAACUCAGGGAAACUUGAGCUAAUACCGGAUGUGCCCUUCGGGGGAAAGAUUUAUCGCCUUUAGAGCGGCCCGCGUCUGAUUAGCUAGUUGGUGAGGUAAAGGCUCACCAAGGCGACGAUCAGUAGCUGGUCUGAGAGGAUGAUCAGCCACAUUGGGACUGAGACACGGCCCAAACUCCUACGGGAGGCAGCAGUGGGGAAUCUUGCGCAAUGGGCGAAAGCCUGACGCAGCCAUGCCGCGUGAAUGAUGAAGGUCUUAGGAUUGUAAAAUCCUUUCACCGGUGAAGAUAAUGACUGUAGCCGGAGAAGAAGCCCCGGCUAACUUCGUGCCAGCCGCCGCGGUAAAAC